CGUAAUAAUAGAAACUAACCAGGAUUCCCUUAGUAACGGCGAGUGAACUGGGAUGCCAAUAUAUAAUAUGUACCUCGCGUGCAUAAAUUAGCCCGUCGAUACUAUCCYAGCGUAUGUCACCGGUCUUCGGGUCGGUACUCAAAUACRCGGGAAUUGUAGCAUCGUAAUAAUUAAAAAUAUACAGCACGCACACACACACACACACACAUAAGAACCCACGCCAACAUGCGUACACCACUUGUAAACACACAGCGUCUCCGCGUUGGAAAGCAAGUAUAUAUCCUCUUUGGAUAUGCCAUAGAGUGUGACAGCCACGUUUCACCCAUAUGAUAGUUACGCACACACACACACACAUACACCAAUGGCGCGGCGUGCGAGUGCACAACGUAUAUAUACUAUAACCUGAGUCGAGUUAUUU
rnacentral:rRNA from 1 species